CGUGUCGAUCAGGACUAUGACACCCUAAGCUUCAAACUAUUCAACGAUGAAGCAGAGUAAAAUGCUUUAACCAGCAGCCUCUUGCUAGCAAAAAAUUUAGUAGUGAAGAAACUUGCAAUCCAUUCAGAUUCUGAGUUGACCACUAACCAAGCCUUAGGGGGUACAUGGCGAAACAUUUAAGGAUGGCUUAACACUUGGAUAAAUUUCGAGAGUAGCUCACGGCCUUACUUGCUCUCUACAAUGCAAGAGGAUAAACUAAUUUCCUAACAAGUAAGCUCUCCAAUGCGAGGAGGUAAACUAAUUCCCCGACACGUAUUUGGGUUUGCUCUCUAGUGCAAGAAGGUAAGCUAAGAAUUCCCUGACAUCGAUCUAGUUAAGUUAUCUAGUACAAGAGGGUAAACUAAUUCCCCAACACCUAUCUGGGUUUACUCUCAAAUGCGAGAGGAUAAACUAAUUCCCUGACACCUAUCUGAUAAGCUCUCCAGUGCAAGAGGGUAAACUAGUUCCUUAACACCCAUUUGGGUUUACUCUCCAGUAGGAGAGGGCCAACUGCCCAUGAAUUUCUAUACAACUACACAUUUUUUAUGUGAUUAGUUAACAAUUUUCAUAUCCCACAGAUCUUUAUCAUGUUAUGAUGUAGGCACGUAGGUCAAAGGAUCGAAUACUCAAAGACUAACUAAGCAGCACAUGGUCAGGGGCCAAAAACUCAUAACGAACUCAAACAGCUCGAUUUUGCCCCAAAAAGUCAAAGCUUUCAGCCAUAAGUGACUUUGUGGGAUCGUUUUUUUUUUUUUCAAAACAACAUGCCUAGCCAACGAUCCUCUGGCUAAAAGUUUUGCAAGAUGCUUUAAGCAAGCAAAGUUUCAAGAAAAAAUAAAGAUGGACUAAAGAGAAGAAAGAAAUUUAUUAAAUUUCUAGGUAAUUGAUAAACUUGCACAAAGGUUGCUAACAUCCGGCACAUGCUAAAUAUAGUAGACUACUCAUUUAGUAGCUUGGAUGACCUUGGGCUCUCCAACAGCCAUCCUACCUUCAGCAGCUACUUCACACUCAUCAGUUUGCUCAUCCGACUUUUCAUCUUCAGUAGCUCCAAUCUUGGUAACUCUAUCCUCGAAUGUUCCAUCUAUGACAACUGAAAAAUCAAACUCAAGCAGAUCCGUCCUUCUUGGCAAGCAGCACAGACGUGGUAGUAGUAGAAGAAGUAGACUUUGACGCCUCUUUAACAACCGAAUUCAUUUUUCCACGUGACGGACUUUCUUCCCCUACCUUUCAUAAUGGCGAGCCUUUCAGAAGCCGAUCCAGACUUAGCCACAGUUGGAUAUUUCAUUUUAUCUUAGAACUUGGACGGUGGAAACAUAUCAACGUCAAGCUUUCUGAAAGCAGUAGAAUGACUUCUUCUCAACUGAAGCUCCAGUAAGCAAGCUAACCUACUAGCAUGGUCCCGUGUAAUUCUCCUCGGAUCAGGCUGAGCCAACUCUUGGCCCCCGCCAACCAAUCGCACCACACGAACCUGAAACAGCUCCUGUAAGUUACCUUACCUGCACUGCAUCCCCGUGGCUACCCAAUUACUUCCUCAGCCCCUGUUGAGCCAUUCCACCAAGCCUCGAGGCUCUAGAAACUUAAAGAUGAAAAAUUCAACUCUCUGAAGUGGCAAGCAAAAAAGAAAACUAGAUGAGAGGUUUACAAUAUUCUUUACCCAUUUCCUUCUUUCUUAAAUUGUUAUGGGAUUUUAUUUAGCCCUCUGCUUAAGACAUGCUUAUAUAAGUCUUGGUGGCAAUUGGCUUCCUUUUCCCAUGACUACUUUGUUUCC
rnacentral:lncRNA from 1 species